rnacentral:rRNA from 1 species
AUUGAACGCUGGCGGCAUGCUUUACACAUGCAAGUCGAACGGCAGCACGGGGCAACCUGGUGGCGAGUGGCGAACGGGUGAGUAAUACAUCGGAACGUGCCCAAUCGUGGGGGAUAACGUAGCGAAAGUUACGCUAAUACCGCAUACGAUCUACGGAUGAAAGCGGGGGAUCGCAAGACCUCGCGCGAAUGGAGCGGCCGAUGUCAGAUUAGGUAGUUGGUGGGGUAAAGGCUCACCAAGCCAACGAUCUGUAGCUGGUCUGAGAGGACGACCAGCCACACUGGAACUGAGACACGGUCCAGACUCCUACGGGAGGCAGCAGUGGGGAAUUUUGGACAAUGGGCGCAAGCCUGAUCCAGCCAUUCCGCGUGCAGGAUGAAGGCC